rnacentral:rRNA from 1 species
UUUGAGAACACAUCUUGUUGCUUCGGGGGCGACCCUGCCGUUUCGACGGCAUUCCCCCCGGAGGUCAUCAAAACACUGCAUUCUUACGUCGGAGUAUAAAGUUAAUUUAAUAAAACUUUCAACAACGGAUCUCUUGGUUCUGGCAUCGAUGAAGAACGCAGCGAAAUGCGAUAAGUAAUGUGAAUUGCAGAAUUCAGUGAAUCAUCGAAUCUUUGAACGCACAUUGCGCCCCCUGGUAUUCCGGGGGGCAUGCCUGUUCGAGCGUCAUUUCACCACUCAAGCCUCGCUUGGUAUUGGGCGCCGCGAGUCUCUCGCGCGCCUCAAAGUCUCCGGCUAGGCGGUUCGUCUCCCAGCGUUGUGGCAACUAUUCGCAGAGGAGUUCGAGUCGUCGAGGCCGUUAAAUCUUUCAAAGGUUGACCUCGGAUCAGGUAGGGAUACCCGCUGAACUUAAGCAUAUCAAUAAGCGGAGGAA